rnacentral:lncRNA from 1 species
CAUUGACCCACAAGUUUAUGCAAUUAUCUUAGAUCUUAAUUCAUAAUUCUAGACCAACUUGACAACACUUAAUUCUUUUAAUUAAGUAUUUGGGCUGAUGGGUCAGGAUUUGGUAUUUCGAUAAUAAUUUUCAAAUUUGAAAGGUUUUAUUUUCUAUUCACCAAAUAUGUUGACUCAUUUCACAAAUAGAUCAGCACAUUUCAUAAAUAGCAAUCCUAUUGCUAAUUACAUAACAAAAAAUAACUCAAUCAAAAUAAAUCAUGAAUAUUCCUUUAGAUCUAAUCUAACAUAUUCAUGAUAAAUCUUACAAUUGAACCUU